rnacentral:rRNA from 1 species
UGGGGAAUUUUGGACAAUGGGCGAAAGCCUGAUCCAGCAAUGCCGCGUGUGCGAAGAAGGCCUUCGGGUUGUAAAGCACUUUUGUCCGGAAAGAAAUCCUUGGCUCUAAUACAGUCGGGGGAUGACGGUACCGGAAGAAUAAGCACCGGCUAACUACGUGCCAGCAGCCGCGGUAAUACGUAGGGUGCAAGCGUUAAUCGGAAUUACUGGGCGUAAAGCGUGCGCAGGCGGUUUGCUAAGACCGAUGUGAAAUCCCCGGGCUCAACCUGGGAACUGCAUUGGUGACUGGCAGGCUAGAGUAUGGCAGAGGGGGGUAGAAUUCCACGUGUAGCAGUGAAAUGAGUAGAGAUGUGGAGGAAUACCGAUGGCGAAGGCAGCCCCCUGGGCCAAUACUGACGCUCAUGCACGAAAGCGUGGGGGAGCAAACAGGAUUAGAUACCCUGGUAGUCCACGCCCUAAACGAUGUCAACUAGUUGUUGGGGAUUCAUUUCCUUAGUAACGUAGCUAACGCGUGAAGUUGACCGCCUGGGGGAGUACGGUCGCAAGAUUAAAAC